GCUUGUCUCAAAGAUUAAGCCAUGCAUGUCUAAGUAUAAAUGCUAUACAAUGAAACUGCGAAUGGCUCAUUAAAACAGUUAUAGUUUAUUUGGUAAUCGAAUUUACAUGGAUAACCGUGGUAAUUCUAGAGCUAAUACAUGCUGUUAAGCCUGACUUACGAAGGGCUGUAUUUAUUAGAUAACAGACCAAUAUUCCCUCGUGUCUAUUGUGGUGAAUAACUUUGGGCUGAUCGUAUGGCCUUGUGCCGACGACGUUUCCUUCGAAGGUGUGCCCUAUCAACUGUCGACUGUGAUAUAGACGCUCACAGUGGUUUUGACGGGUAACGGGGAAUCAGGGUUCGAUUCCGGAGAGGGAGCCUUAAAAACGGCUACCACAUCCAAGGAAGGCAGCAGG
rnacentral:rRNA from 1 species